rnacentral:rRNA from 1 species
GACGAACGCUGGCGGCGUGCUUAACACAUGCAAGUCGAACGGAAAGGCCCUGCUUUUGUGGGGUGCUCGAGUGGCGAACGGGUGAGUAACACGUGAGUAACCUGCCCUUGACUUUGGGAUAACUUCAGGAAACUGGGGCUAAUACCGGAUAGGAGCUCCUGCUGCAUGGUGGGGGUUGGAAAGUUUCGGCGGUUGGGGAUGGACUCGCGGCUUAUCAGCUUGUUGGUGGGGUAGUGGCUUACCAAGGCUUUGACGGGUAGCCGGCCUGAGAGGGUGACCGGCCACAUUGGGACUGAGAUACGGCCCAGACUCCUACGGGAGGCAGCAGUGGGGAAUAUUGCACAAUGGGCGGAAGCCUGAUGCAGCAACGCCGCGUGCGGGAUGACGGCCUUCGGGUUGUAAACCGCUUUCGCCUGUGACGAAGCGUGAGUGACGGUAAUGGGUAAAGAAGCACCGGCUAACUACGUGCCAGCAGCCGCGGUGAUACGUAGGGUGCGAGCGUUGUCCGGAUUUAUUGGGCGUAAAGGGCUCGUAGGUGGUUGAUCGCGUCGGAAGUGUAAUCUUGGGGCUUAACCCUGAGCGUGCUUUCGAUACGGGCUGACUUGAGGAAGGUAGGGGAGAAUGGAAUUCCUGGUGGAGCGGUGGAAUGCGCAGAUAUCAGGAGGAACACCAGUGGCGAAGGCGGUUCUCUGGGCCUUUCCUGACGCUGAGGAGCGAAAGCGUGGGGAGCGAACAGGCUUAGAUACCCUGGUAGUCCACGCUGUAAACGGUGGGUACUAGGCGUGGGGUCCAUUCCACGGGUUCCGUGCCGUAGCUAACGCUUUAAGUACCCCGCCUGGGGAGUACGGCCGCAAGGCUAAAACUCAAAGGAAUUGACGGGGCCCCGCACAAGCGGCGGAGCAUGCGGAUUAAUUCGAUGCAACGCGUAGAACCUUACCUGGGUUUGACAUGGAUCGGGAGUGCUCAGAGAUGGGUGUGCCUCUUUUGGGGUCGGUUCACAGGUGGUGCAUGGCUGUCGUCAGCUCGUGUCGUGAGAUGUUGGGUUAAGUCCCGCAACGAGCGCAACCCUUGUUCACUGUUGCCAGCACGUUAUGGUGGGGACUCAGUGGAGACCGCCGGGGUCAACUCGGAGGAAGGUGGGGAUGACGUCAAGUCAUCAUGCCCCUUAUGUCCAGGGCUUCACGCAUGCUACAAUGGCUGGUACAGAGAGUGGCGAGCCUGUGAGGGUGAGCGAAUCUCGGAAAUCCGGUCUCAGUUCGGAUUGGGGUCUGCAACUCGACCUCAUGAAGUCGGAGUCGCUAGUAAUCGCAGAUCAGCAACGCUGCGGUGAAUACGCUCCCGGGGCU